UCCCUGGAGAACUAGUGGUUAGGCCAUGGCGCUCUCACUGCCGCGGCUGGGGUUCGAUUCCCGGCUGGGGAA
rnacentral:tRNA from 1 species